rnacentral:rRNA from 1 species
UACGAAGGGGGCUAGCGUUGUUCGGAAUCACUGGGCGUAAAGCGCUCGUAGGCGGAUCUUUAAGUCAGAGGUGAAAUCCCAAGGCUCAACCUUGGAACUGCCUUUGAUACUGGGGAUCUCGAGUCCGGGAGAGGUGAGUGGAACUGCGAGUGUAGAGGUGAAAUUCGUAGAUAUUCGCAAGAACACAGUGGCGAAGGCGGCUUACUGGCCCGGUAACUGGACGC